rnacentral:rRNA from 1 species
GAUGAACGCUGGCGGCGUGCCUAAUACAUGCAGGUCGAGCGAACGGACGAGAAGCUUGCUUCUCUGAUGUUAGCGGCGGACGGGUGAGUAACACGUGGAUAACCUACCUAUAAGACUGGGAUAACUUCGGGAAACCGGGGCUAAUACCGGAUGAUAUUUUGAACCGCAUGGUUCAAAAGUGAAAGACGGUCUUGCUGUCACUUAUAGAUGGAUCCGCGCUGCAUUAGCUAGUUGGUAAGGUAACGGCUUACCAAGGCAACGAUGCAUAGCCGACCUGAGAGGGUGAUCGGCCACACUGGAACUGAGACACGGUCCAGACUCCUACGGGAGGCAGCAGUAGGGAAUCUUCCGCAAUGGGCGAAAGCCUGACGGAGCAACGCCGCGUGAGUGAUGAAGGUCUUCGGAUCGUAAAACUCUGUUAUUAGGGAAGAACAUAUGUGUAAGUAACUGUGCACAUCUUGACGGUACCUAAUCAGAAAGCCACGGCUAACUACGU